GGUUGUGUAGUGUAGUGGUUAUCACUCUGGAUUUUGAGGCACACUUUCCUCACAAGCCUUCCAGUAACCCCGGUUCGAACCCGGGCACGACCU